rnacentral:rRNA from 1 species
CCUACGGGCGGCAGCAGUGGGGAAUAUUCGGCAAUGGGCGCAAGCCUGAAGCAGCCAAGUAGCGUGAAGGAUGACUGCCCUACGGGUUGUAAACUUCUGUUUUAAAGGAAUAAAGUGCGGCACGUGUGCCUUUUUGUAUGUACUUUAUGAUUAAGGAUCGGCUAACUCCGUGCCUGCAGCCGCGGUAAUACAGAGGUUGCGAGCGUUAUCCGGAUUUAUUGGGUUUAAAGGGAGCGUAGAUGGGUUGUUAAGUCAGUUGUGAAAGUUUGCGGCUCAACCGUAAAAUUGCAAUUGAUACUGGCAGUCUUGAGUACAGUUGAGGUAGGCGGAAUUCGUGGUGUAGCGGUGAAAUGCUUAGAUAUCACGAAGAACUCCGAUUGCGAAGGCAGCUUACUAAACUGCCACUGACAUUGAUGCUCGAAAGUGUGGGUAUCAAACAGGAUUAGAUACCCCUGUAGUC